rnacentral:misc_RNA from 1 species
UCCGGUUUGGCACCGGCAGUCUCCCAUGAGUCCCCGACAUUACUCGCUGGCAACAUGGGACAGGGGUUGCGCUCGUUGCGCCACUUAAGGCAACACCUCACGGCACGAGCUGACGACAGCCAUGCACCACCUGUGCGGGCUCCCGAAGGAGCACCGUGUUUCCACGGUUUCACCCCGCAUGUCAAGCCCUGGUAAGGUGGGGAUGACGUGGCCUUCCAUCACA